rnacentral:rRNA from 1 species
GACGAACGCUGGCGGCGUGCCUAAUACAUGCAAGUAGAACGCACAGUUUAUACCGUAGCUUGCUACACCAUAGACUGUGAGUUGCGAACGGGUGAGUAACGCGUAGGUAACCUGCCUGGUAGCGGGGGAUAACUAUUGGACACGAUAGCUAAUACCGCAUAAUAUUGAUUAUUGCAUGAUAAUUAAUUGAAAGGUGCAAUUGCACCACUACCAGAUGGACCUGCGUUGUAUUAGCUAGUAGGUGAGGUAACGGCUCACCUAGGCGACGAUACAUAGCCGACCUGAGAGGGUGAUCGGCCACACUGGGACUGAGACACGGCCCAGACUCCUGCGGGAGGCAGCAGUAGGGGAUCUUCGGCAAUGGACGAAAGUCUGACCGAGCAACGCCGCGUGAGUGAAUAAGGUUUUCGGAUCGUAAAGCUCUGUUGUAAGAGAAGAACGGGUGUGAGAGUGGAAAGUUCACACUGUGACGGUAUCUUACCAGAAAGGGACGGCUAACUACGUG